rnacentral:rRNA from 1 species
UGGAUAGUAAUACUAAUGAAAUUUAACGGAUUUGGCGGCAAGAUAGCCACUUAGAGGAACCUGCCCUGUAAACGAUGAGCCACGAUUAACCUUACUUUUACUAGAAUUCAGUUUGUAUACCGCUGUUGUCAGUUAGUUUCUUUAGAAAACUUUCGUACAUGAUAAAUUCAAGGACUUCAAGUAAAGGUGCAGCUUAUGUAAAAGAUAGAGGUGGGUUACAAUUAAAAGAGUAAUAUGGAUAAAGUUAGGAAAAAACUUUUGAAGGUGGAUUUAAUAGUAAAGUUUAAUAAGACUUGAUUAGAGCUCUAUCUUGUGUACACACCGCCCGUCGCUCGCGGGA